UAUGUAGGUUGCCUUAUCGCCUGUAUACAGGAGGAAAGUCCGGGCAACAUAGAGCGUCGUACUUCCUAACGGGAAGGGUUUGGUUUAGUGAUAAACCAAAUACAGAAAGUGCCACAGAAAAUAUACCGCCCCAAUUGGGGUAAGGGUGAAAUGGCAGGGUAAGAGCCUACCGCUUCUCAGGCAACUGAGGAGGCAGGGUAAACCUUACGAGUUGAAAGACCAAAUAUACCAACAUCUCUUCGGAGGAGGGGCUGCUCGUCUUUUGUUGGUGGGUGGGUCGAUUGAGCCUGAUGGUGACAUAAGGCCUAGAUAAAUGAUAAGGGACUCUAACAGAGUUACAGAACCCGGCUUAUAGACUUACAUAGUUC
rnacentral:RNase_P_RNA from 1 species